rnacentral:tRNA from 1 species
CAGAGAAUAGUUUAAAAAAAAUAUUAAUUUUGGAGAUUAAUGAUAAAAGUAAAUUUUUUCUCUGA